GACGGAGGAUGCAAGUGUUAUCCGGAAUCACUGGGCGUAAAGCGUCUGUAGGUGGUUCGAAAAGUCCACUGUUAAAAAAUUGAGGCUUAACUUCAAAGAUGCCGUGGAAACUUUCAAACUAGAGUAUGGUAGGGGUAGAGGGAAUUUCCAGUGGAGCGGUGAAAUGCGUAGAUAUUGGAAAGACCACCGAUGGCGAAGGCACUCUACUGGGCCAUUACUGACACUGAGAGACGAAAGCUAGGGGAGCAAAUGGG
rnacentral:rRNA from 1 species